rnacentral:lncRNA from 1 species
GUGCCUAUCUAAUUCCUGAACAUUGUUAGUGGGUGUUUUUGUCUACAUAUGUUUUGUUCUCUUGUGUGAUGUGGUGUUUAUGGCAGAUAUUUGAAUUCAGUUAUUAAGAAAUAGGAAAACAUUAAUUUUAAAGAAUACAACUUCCGCACGGAAUGUACAAAAGGAAAAUUUAAGAAAUUUCCGAUCUUAACACAUUGAUACCUCUGUCCGGGUGUUUAAAAAAAGAAUUUGUUAAAUGUUUACGGUAAAUGCUACCAACUUAAAAGAU